rnacentral:rRNA from 1 species
UACGGGGGGAGCAAGCGUUGUUCGGAUUUACUGGGCGUAAAGGGCGCGUAGGCGGUCGGCACAAGUCAGUUGUGAAAUCUCCGGGCUUAACUCGGAAAGGUCAACUGAUACUGUGCGACUAGAGUGCGGAAGGGGCAACUGGAAUUCUCGGUGUAGCGGUGGAAUGCGCAGAUAUCAGGAGGAACACCGGUGGCGAAGGCGGGUCUCUGGGCAGUAACUGACGCUGAGGAGCGAAAGCGUGGGGAGCGAACAGG